rnacentral:rRNA from 1 species
CAAUAGCAUAUAUUAACGUUGUUGCAGUUGAAAAGCUCGUAGUUGAACUUUUGGUAGGAGCGACCUGGCCUUGGGCGCAUGCCCUUGUUUGCCGUGUGUCGUAUCUGGCCAUCCUUUUCCGUUUCGGCGGGAAUCUUUUACUGUGAGUAAACUGGAGUGCUCAAAACAAGACGUUUGUUUGGUACAUUAAAGCAUGGAAUAAUAAGAUAGGACCUGGUUACUAUUUUGUUGGUUUGCAUAGCUAGGUAAUGAUUAACAGGGACAGUUGGGGGUAUUCGUAUUUAAUUGUCAGAGGUGAAAUUCUUGGAUUUAUGAAAGACGAACGACUGCGAAAGCAUUUACCAGGGAUGUUUUCAUUAA